GACUCGUCCCAUGUCUCCGUUUGCAUGUUCACAAGUACGUGCGCUGCAAGCAGCCCAUAUGUGCACAGCGCCUUCCACUGCAGAGAUAUUACGGGAGAUCCGAAAACACCUGGACCUUCCUUCUACCAGUAGAACAAAACCCAACAAAUCUAUAAAGGAAUGUCGAUGAAGAAACUAUUCACUGUGUCCUACACUUCCAUGGGGCCUGGUUCUCCAGACUAAUACAAUGAGGAAGCCACGCUCUCUAGCGCUAGACCAUUUAAUCUGGAUUUCAGUAUGUGAAUCCACACAGCCUGCAAAGAAAAGUAAGAAAUGAAUGUAACACUUAUGAAGAAGCUAGUCUUCCAACAAAUGCAAAAACAACAAACGAAUCCACACAGCCUCCAUAGAAAAGUAAGAAAUGAAUAUAACACUUAUGAAGAAGCUAGUCUUCCAACAAAUGCAAAACUAACAAACGAAAGGCCUGAGACAGGACACUGUGGAUGUGGUUAGGGUUGGAGCACAUAAUAAAGUGACCAUUCUCUGGAGAACAACUGACCCCACAUGUUUUUCUGUAU